CAAUAGCGUAUAUUAAAGUUGUUGCAGUUAAAAAGCUCGUAGUUGGAUUUCUGGUGGGAGCGAUCGGUCUGGCGCUUAGCGCGAGUACUUGCAUCGUCUCCGGCCAUCCUUGGGGAGAGUCUGUCUGGCAUUAGGUUGUCGGGCAGAGGAUCCUCAUCGUUUACUGUGAAAAAAUUAGAGUGUUCAAAGCAGGUUUAUGCCGUUGAAUAUAUUAGCAUGGAAUAAUAAGAUAGGACUUUGGUACUAUUUUGUUGGUUUGCGCACCAAAGUAAUGAUUAAUAGGGACAGUUGGGGGUAUUCGUAUUCCGUUGUCAGAGGUGAAAUUCUUGGAUUUACGGAAGACGAACUACUGCGAAAGCAUUUACCAAGGAUGUUUUCAUUAA
rnacentral:rRNA from 1 species